rnacentral:rRNA from 1 species
UACGAAGGGGGCUAGCGUUGCUCGGAAUCACUGGGCGUAAAGAGCUCGUAGGCGGUCUGUCACGUCGGCUGUGAAAUCCCGAGGCUCAACCUCGGGUCUGCAGUCGAUACGGGCAAACUAGAGUAUUGCAGGGGAGACUGGAAUUCCUGGUGUAGCGGUGAAAUGCGCAGAUAUCAGGAGGAACACCGGUGGCGAAGGCGGGUCUCUGGGCAAUAACUGACGCUGAGGAGCGAAAGCGUGGGGAGCGAACAGG